rnacentral:lncRNA from 1 species
ACUUUUCAAUUUGAAGGAACAAGGGUCCAAAACACAACAUAAUCCAGUGACUCUUCUAAUACCCAUAUACAACCUACAUAGUGUAUACAGAGCCUCUAAAAAUACAAAAGAGAGUCAUAAUAAUGCUAGCAACAAGGCCCCGACUAUACCUCGAAACGUGGCAAACAUAUAAACAAAAGAUGUACUAGAUGACUCCAGGAAGAAAUGGGGCUCACCGAGUCUGCUGGAAAAAUGAUGAUGGUUCACCACUAGCUGCCAUUAACACUGUCUGCUAUGGAACCACCUACAUCCAUUUAAACAUGUAGCGCCCCAGCAAAAGGGAUGUUAGUAUUGUUGAAUAGUACUAGUAUGUAAAACUAAACACUAAACUUAAUAGAACGAACAAUGAAAUAAAGGAGAAGCAGUCAUGAUAUACAACAAGAGCUUCAAACACAUACGAAAACAUCAAGUAAUGAUCACACAAUUUCCAGUUAAGUUUCCAUCUUAUUUAGGUUUUAUAAUCUCAGUGCCAUGUGCCACAAUCCACACUACCACCGUGUUUCUACAUGAAGUCUGAUCUCGACCCGACCGGUUAGGUCAUCUCAUUUGAGACAUCAACCAUUUUCACAAUUAUAGUCAAUCAAUCCAGCACAAUUACCACCAUGUGUGUGGGAUGGUGUUCGAUCAUGGCCCGAUCGGCUAGGCCAUCUCACUUGAUACAUCAACCAUUCAAUCGUUCAUCUCAAUUCAGAUUUUCUUCCCAUCUUUCAUUACAUGGCACGAGUAGCCUCAUUUAUUAAAUUGUUCUUGGCACUUGGUCGUAUCUUAAAAUUUAAUUUUCCCUUUUUAUACAUUCAAAUAAUAUUAUCAUCCACAUCAAUAAGGCCUAUCAUGUAGGGCAUCGCAUACACAUGGGGAAGGCAUAAAAAAUCUUAAUCAUACGGAGGCUUUUCAUACAAAUAGCAUAGCAAGCUUUAUUCGAUUCUUGACAUGAAUUCUUGACCUUUCUGAACACAUAUAUUCCACAUUUAAACACAUUCUCAAAUGGAAUGACGACAUGAUAAAUAUUUAGAAUAAUCAUUGAACAUAAAUCUUUCAACAUAAUAUGUUAGGGAACGGUUCUAGUAUGAUCAAUUUAGCGACAUACACCAAUUACACGUACACCAGAGGUUCGAUUCUAAGAAGAAGGGGGUUUAGCCAUACAUACAUGGAAUUCGCCCCUUAAUGAUACUAUGAUGAUCCACUACACUAAGCAACUUCAGUUUACAAUAUUAACAUCCAAUGGGACCAUCAUUAGUAACAAAUUCCAUAGUUUAAGCCAUUUAGACACUUUAUCAAACACAUAGUAGGCAUAAGUCUCUAUAUCUCAUAGCCAUAGAAUUGAUUCAUCCAACUAACACUAUUUACCAACAAUUUAACCUACCAUCAUUCUUGAACAUUUUAUAACUUCCAACAUCACAUGCAUGACCAUCCAUCCAUCCCCAAUCAACAAAAUUUAAUCAAAUAAUUUCCUUUCAAUCUCUACAAUGGUUAUGUAUUUAAAUUGAAAAAUUAUGGCUUCCAAUCACCAUCCCAUGAGUACCAAUACUUAAUUCUUACUCAUAUUCUAAUAAUAAAUUCAUGCAUGUAAGUCUAAGGGUGUAGGAUUACCUUUUGAAAAAUAUCUUGCAA